CACGUAGGGCGCGAGCGUUGUCCGGAAUUAUUGGGCGUAAAGAGCUCGUAGGCGGCCUGUUGCGUCCGCUGUGAAAGCCCGGGGCUUAACCCCGGGUCUGCAGUGGAUACGGGCAGGCUAGAGGUAGGUAGGGGAGAAUGGAAUUCCCGGUGUAGCGGUGAAAUGCGCAGAUAUCGGGAGGAACACCGGUGGCGAAGGCGGCACUCUGGGACGGUACUGACGCUGAGACGCGAAAGCGUGGGGAGCGAACAGG
rnacentral:rRNA from 1 species